ACCUAUGGCCGUAUCACCCUGAACACGCCCCCAUCUCGUCUGAUCUCGGAAGCUAAGCAGGGUCAGGCUUGGGGAAUACUUGGAUGGGAGACAAAGAGAACCAUGGGUGUUAGAGAUG
ensembl:rRNA 5S_rRNA 5S ribosomal RNA